rnacentral:rRNA from 1 species
GAUGAACGCUGGCGGCGUGCCUAAUACAUGCAAGUCGAGCGAAUGGAUUAAGAGCUUGCUCUUAUGAAGUUAGCGGCGGACGGGUGAGUAACACGUGGGUAACCUGCCCAUAAGACUGGGAUAACUCCGGGAAACCGGGGCUAAUACCGGAUAACAUUUUGAACCGCAUGGUUCGAAAUUGAAAGGCGGCUUCGCCGGUCACUAAUGGCUGGACACGCGUCGCAUUAGCUAGUUGGUGAGGUAACGGCUCACCAAGGCAACGAUGCGUAGCCGACCUGAGAGGGUGAUCGGCCACACUGGGACUGAGACACGGCCCAGACUCCUACGGGAGGCAGCAGUAGGGAAUCUUCCGCAAUGGACGAAAGUCUGACGGAGCAACGCCGCGUGAGUGAUGAAGGCUUUCGGGUCGUAAAACUCUGUUGCUAGGGAAGAACAAGUGCUAGUUGAAUAAGCUGGCACCUUGACGGUACCUAACCAGAAAGCCACGGCUAACUACGUGCCAGCCGCCGCCGUAA